CUCCCUGUCCUCAAGGGUCAAGCAUGCUUGGGAGGAGCAGAACAAAUUAGUUCUUGGUUUAGCGUUCAUUGGUGGAUGGUUCGUCAAAGCUAACAUAAAUGUUUUCAAGCGAAGAGAGGAUUGGUACAGAGUUCACAAAUUUGUUGAUGAUGAGAAGAAGCGUCUUGAAGAGAAACGUGCCCGUAAUGAAAAGGAACUGGAUGAUGAUGUCUAGGCUACAAUUGAUUGUUUUUUGUGUUGUGUUGUUUGGUGUUUUAUCCGCACUCUCGUACUAAUUUAGUGGUGGCUUGCUUCUUGUCUUGUGUUCGUUUGGUGUUUUGAAACUGUUUUUUUUCUUCUUCAUCUCCUAUAUAUGGUUCCACUUGCAAACCUACUCUUACGUGUUUCACAAGUAUUUGGUCGUAUUCACAAGUAUUUUAACA